AAAAAAAAAAAAAAGGCAUGUGUUUUCCUGAUGUCUGUGAGCACCAGCCCAAGACGAUGAUGUUCAAUGCUCCAGCACGCCUCCAGAAGCAGGGAGAGAACAAAAGCACCAGAAUCCGUCUCUGGUUGCUUGUAGGCUCAAAGAGGCUGACUCUUCCCCAAGGAUAUCAGGGGCAGUGUAAGCUACAGAUAUCUGCUCAUCUGGACAAGCCUUAAUCAUGGAAAGAAAGCUCCUAAAGAAGGAAAUGAAAAAACUCCUGGGAGAUUAUAUUGGCAUCAGACUUCGGGAAAAUGAAUUUGACCCAAAAGGAAGAAGGCAACUCACCUUUCUAGAUGAUAUGGCACACUAUGACUUGGCCAUCAAUGUUGCUUUGCAAUGGCUGGAUCACUUGGAAGACUUCACUUGGCUGGAGUGGGAGAAAGUGAAAAUGCCAUUUCAUGGCAGACCCACAUAUCCAAACCGGAAAGAAAGAGAAGCAAUGAUUUUAUCAUCUUAUGCUGGAAUCUUAAUGAACAGUCUCCCAGUUGAGGAAGUCUUUAAAAUGUAUGGAGCCGAUUCUUCUACCAAUUCUGGGGCCACCAAGGUUCCCCGAGCUCCACCUUUCCGCCUCUCCUUGCACCCCUUUGCCAUGUUAACGGCACCCAAAGCAGCAGAAUACGCCCGCAAACAGGGGGUCAAGUUAAGAAGGGGAGCAAACAAAAAUGCUGCCAGUAGCCCUGCAAGGGAAGUACAUGUCACAGCGUGGAAAUCAUCAAAAAAUGUAUCUUUGGACAUCCAGCCCAAGAACAAAGUGCCGAAAAUCUGUCUCGCAAGAUGACUCACUGCCACAGAAUUGCUUCAUAAAGUAAGGGACAAGGAGAACAUAUAUUUUUUUAAUCCAGGUCACUUAGAAACAUGGAAUUGCACCACGAGAGUCUAUAAUACAGUCUCCAGGAGGGGAAAAGAAACAUCAUCUUAGCACUGUAACUCUUGCCAGCACCGUUUUUCUUUAUGGUUAGCUUUUGGUGCAAAGUUUGUUGAAGGGUUACUUUGGAUGUUGGGCUUUCUUCUCUUAGAAUCCUAUUGUGUGGCUAGAGUGUGGUUUUUAAAAAAUGUAUAUCUGAAGCUACUUCAUUGUCACUGGAAGACGGCUGGUCGGAGAAUUUCGAGACUAUGUAGUAUUUCUACGUCAGAACAGACUGGCUUUGCAGCAAUGCCACAAGUAUUUAGCACUGAGUACUGCAGAGUGAGGGGGGUAGGAGGCAGUUUCCCGAAGUUUUGACCCCAAAUCAAAUUAAUCUGUCAUUCACUGCCCUUAACUAUGUUCUCCGAUGGAGACAUUUAAAAUCAUUUCAAUAAAGCAGUAAA